UCCUCUGGAGGUACUGUCCCGGUCCGCCGAGCGGACUUUUCUUCCCUCCUGACAGUGGUUUACAGGGCAAAGCCCAUUCAUCCCACACGCGGCGUCGCUGGUUCAGGGUUUCCCCCAUUGACCAAAAUUCCUC
rnacentral:rRNA from 1 species